rnacentral:tRNA from 1 species
GUGAACGUAGCUCAGCCGGUAGAGCACUGGGUUGUGGCCCCAGCGGCCGCGGGUUCGAGUCCCGUCGUUCACCCCU